CAGACUUCUGGCCAAGGCAUUGCAAGAAUAUACCAAAAAUAGAAAGAAAGAAACUGUCUGGAGAAGGAGACAGGACUGUGGAUUCUCCUGGAUUGAUUUUCACCAUGCGUUUCAACACCCUGAGCCUAGGAACUAAAGCUUUUCCUGGUGCAGUUCAGCUGCCCUGGGUGGAUUUACUGCACAGCCAACGCGAUGCAAAGAGGCUGACUCGAGGCACAGAGCAAGAGAUGGACAAUGUGGGGCUGCUGCUGGUGGAGAGGGUUCAGGCACCGUGCUGGGGAAGUCAGAGGACGUGCAAGACCUGCGAUCCAUAGUGUAGCACUAAGCAAUGGCACCAGAGGGCUUGACUUGCAGAUGGGCUCUUGGGCACUAAAUGUUGAAUUGCACAUUCUGGCAGCUCUGGGCAUGGCCAGAAACUGAAAGUGAGAAGAUGGGUUCCUCAGUACCAGUGGGGUCUUCGGAGGUUUCAGGUUUCAGAAGCAUCUGAAUUCCUUGUUUCGAGGACCUAAAUUUUGGUCCUGGUAUUUAACUGGA
rnacentral:lncRNA from 1 species